rnacentral:lncRNA from 1 species
GCACUGGGAGGAGGAAGUAAAGAGAUGGUGAGAGAGAAGAACAAGUCUUCCAUUUUAGAACUUGGUCUCCCAAGAAGAGGAUGUUAUUUGGUCUUUGGAUUUAUGUACAAAGAAAAGUAUCGGCGAAUGACUGAAGUGUCUUCUCCAGAUACCGGCUUUCAGUUAAAUAAGGACCCAAGGAUGUGGACCUGGAAAUGCAAUUAGAACUAAAGUGGGCUCCAGAAGAUCUUUAUUGCUAGGCAACCUGGAUGUGCCUGAGCCCUUGACAGCUGAGGACUCUACAGUCUAUGGAACACUGCUCUCACCUUUAGUUCAGUGUCUUCAUUUCCUUCAAUAAAUUGCUAUUCAUCC